rnacentral:lncRNA from 10 species
AUUCACUAGAUGUUCUAUGAGAAGCAGGAUGAGGUCGCAAAAGUUGGAAAAAAAGGGAGAAAACAACCUCAUGAUGGUGCCUGGGCACAUCAGUACUCUUGCAGCUUGAAAUUGAGAUGACCCAUUGAUUCUCCAUGUGGUUGAGCACAUGAUACCAUCAGAAAGAUCCACCCAGGGAAUGCACAAAAGCAAGAAACACAAAGCAGACAGAGGAAUUAGUAAUGAAAAUCAAGCCCCUCAGCCAUCCCGUCCAACAACAGUCCUUCUCAGAGGUUGUCGCUUUGAACUACUUCAGUUUUCAAUUAUGUCAGUGGCCAAUAAUUUCAGGAAAUCCUACUGGAUCAUUCCUCCUCAUGUCUUCCCUCCCUCCAUCCUGCUCCCUUUCUUUCCGUUGUUUAGAGAAGAUUUUGUUUUUCUUCCUGGAAGGUAA